ensembl:lncRNA
CUCAGCGCAUGCGCUGCGGGUGCCCGCGGAUUUUGUCAGAAAGUGGAAACUCUCCGCGAAGGCUUUCCUCGCCGCUGCGGCUCGCGCCUUGCUUCUUCCCCUAGGUUCACCUGCCUGCCCGAGUGACUGAGAGCCGAGCGGACCGGCCCCCGCCGCCCGGAACGCACUUCCAGUCCCAUGGAGCCCGAACUCCUGCUCGGCAUCUCUACUUUCCGCUCCGGCUGAGCUGCUCUGGAGCCCGAGACCGGGGAGGCGCGACUCUCGGCCCACAGCCGCACCGCCGCCGGGUGCUGUCCGCCCUCCGAGACCCGCGCCAGCACAUCGUAUGGGACUGGGGCUCCAAUGGCAAACAUGACUUCAUUGGCGAAUACACCUCAGCAUUCAAGGAGAUGAGAGGAGUGAUGGAAGGGAAACAGGUCACCCACAACAUGGAAGAAAUCGACUCCUAAUACAAUCUUCCCACAGUAUCUCUAAGUUACAUGUGGACUUUGGGUGAAAUGGAUCUGUCUCAUGUGUGGGGCCCCAGCUGAAGAACCAAGAUGAGCAGAGAAAGAUCCUUCCUCCUCUGCAGAGAGACCCUCCCUCGAUAUGUGGUCACCCCAGACACCUGCUCACCCCAAGUACCUGGUCACCUGGGCUAUCUGAUUGGUUCCUCGUCCUCCACCUCCCCCAGGCGAUGACUUAUCGCAACGAUCCUGGCAGCUGCUGAAUAAAAUCUGUGUGGGCUGCUUUAAAGACCAUCUGGCUCUGGUUCUGUUUGAAAGAGGAUGCAGCAGGAAGAUGACUGUCUCCAUGCCAAAGAGGGAGGCCACAGAGAAACCAACCCUGCCAACACGUUGAACUCGGAGCUCCAGCCUUUGGAACCUAUCCUGGGUACAGAACAUAAGAGAGUAGAGGAAGAUCUUUCAUGCCCUGCACAGCAUCGAGUACACCAAGAGUCAACCCCCCUUUGUUCUUGUUCUGUCUCAGCAGCAACAGAGACCAACCAACCCUCUCCCCAUCUAUGAGAUAUUCGACUAGCACCCUCUGCCUCCAUCUUCUCUCAUAGCCUGUCCCAUGGCUCUCUCAGCUUAUGCCCUGUCUCAUAAAUGUCCCCCUGGGCAUAAGCGUGGGACCCCAGGCCACCAGGGAGGUGUGUGACAUUCAGGCAGCAAGUGUCCAGGGGGCUGGAGCUGGACGCUGCCACACGGCACACACAGAAGUGAUUCCAUCCCAGUGCCAUCUAGCUAGGAUGGCCCGCACAGCCCACAUGCAAGUUUCUGAAAUGCUGGUGGAUUGGGGCCAGGGUUCGGACUCCAAAACCCCACUCUCAGGCCUCUGCAGCAUGGGAUGGCUGCAUCACAGGGGCCCCAAGGGGGAGUGUGGUCAGCCCCAUUGCAGGGACAACUCUGAUGUCCUUAUUAGGAGAACAGGGGCGGGCCUGUGCCCCUCUCAACCACCCACCUCACUGGGCCCCCUUCAGUACUACAGCCAAUGGAGUACUGCCUGGAAGCUGUGCCCUCCUGGAUCCUAUCCAAGUUGGGCCAGGUCUCAAUGAUCCCAGACCGAGGGGGUCAGGUGACUCCUGGGCUCUCAUAGGGAUUCCCCAUUUUUCUUUUAAGGGAGAACCUCUGAGUUUCAAAUGAAGAAACCAGAACUUACCAACCCAAAAUGUGCCUGUUUGGUGUUAAGGAUAUUUCUGAGCAGAAGGCCGCUAAGAACCAGCAGACUCAGGAAACUUGAGAACAGGACUCAAGCAUCCCUUCCGUAAAGGAAAUCUCCAUUGAUAAAGGAAAUGCCUGCUUGUAGGGACCUCUUCUUCCAUAUGUGGAAGAGGAGGCUGCUUGAUAAUGCUCAUCAAUUAAAAAAAAAAUCACCAACUUGAAUCCACAUCACAAACUUCCCUAAACACCCUCAUUCACUGGGCUUUCCUGACCUACUCGCCCCAGACACCUUUCCUUUGUCCAGCCCAUGAUGGUAUUACGUCCCCAGUUCUCACUGCCCCCCUUGGGUAACAUUUCUUUCUAAACUCCCACAUGUCAUUCAAACAUUUAUGAAACAGGGCAUAAGCUGUUAGUCUGUCUUUUCUCAGUUUAACUUCUGGGUUCCAAGCACAGAGCCUGGAAGUGGAGAGGGCACUGGGCUGGCUGCCAUCCACCGUGAAAGCCAUGCUGGAGUCUUCAGGAAUGGCAGGAGCCACUGUUAAACACAGCUCGUGUCAGAAGUGUACUUACAACCUUGGCACUGAAUAAACCAUAAAGGC